UUCGGCUUAAGAAGCCACGGCUAUCUAGGAGCCUGCAGGCCAUGUCAAGGGUAGGUAAGCGAGCGUUAAUCGCAUCGAAUGAUGCACAUCGUGCGCAGCUGCGCUGUUAGACAUCAAUUAAAUCGAGUGUCUCUCUCGCGGACGUGCUUUUCAGGCUGCAAGGCUCGAGUAUGACAGAGGGUGGUGGAGAUGUAUCCGUCGCAGUCACAUAGGUAGCGUUGUGGAGGAACUGGGAUGGCGAAGUCUGUAAUCUGGUCCAAUACUGACGCUCAUGCACAUGAGCGUCAGUAGCAAACAGGAUUAGAUACCCUGGUAGUGCUAUUCCUAAACGAUGUCAACUAGGUGUUGGGUGGGUAAAGAAUUCUUAGUACCCUAGCUAACGCGUGAAGUUCCAGUUCUGGGGAGCAGUUCCCCAAGGAUAAAAGUCAAAGGAACAUACGGGGAAAAGCACAAGCGGUGGAUGAUGUGGAUUAAUUAAUUGCAACGCGAAAAACCUUACUUAGCCUUGACAUGUCCAGAAGCUCGUAGAGAGCCGAGUGUUCUUGAAAGGGAGCUGUCACGCAGGUGCAGCAUGGCUGUGGUCAGCUCGUGUCUCGAGAAAGAGGUUAAGUCCCGCAACGAGUGCACACUCAGUCGGUAAGGGCCAUCCAGGAUUUGGGCCAUUGUCCGAAAUUCCCGGUGACAACCCGGAGGAAGGUUGGGAUGACGUCAAGUCUUCAUGUGCGUUAUGUGUAGGUCUUCGCCCAUCAUACAAUGGUCGGUACAGAGGGCCUUCAAGUCGCGAGGUGGAUACUAUCCCAUAAAGCCGUUCGUAAUCGGGAGGUCAGUCGAUAACUCGCUUUCGUGAACUGGGCAUAUCUGGUAAUAGCGGACCAGCAGGUAGCGGUGAAUACGUUUCCGGGUAUGGUACGCUACGCCCUCACACCAUGGGAGCGGCCAUCCCAGCAAGCGGUACCCUAACCCCAAGGAGGGCCAUGAGCAAGCAGGGGUUCAGCGUUCAAUGAGGUCCAGGCACGGUCGCCAAUCUCUGAAGUCGCGCAUCACCAC
rnacentral:rRNA from 1 species